rfam:Gossypium hirsutum cultivar TM-1 chromosome 22, whole genome shotgun sequence
AUCCCAUGAUGACAAUGCUUGCGAAAUAACUCCUUGAAUCGCUCCCAAGCCUCAUACAAAGAAUCGUCAUCCAAUUGUUGGAAAGUUGUGAUCUCGUUCCUCAGCUU